CUCAAUGGGGUGCGUGGUAAGUUGUGCGUGGAUCGCGGAGAGUAGCAUGAGCCUCCACAUGUGGAGUCUCCGCGGUGUCAUGCACGAUGAGCCAUGUGAUAAGAUGCGUGGAUUGAUGGUCUCAGAAGCGGAGGCAACUGAGAAUUGUCCUCCGCCACCCGGAUUGAGGUAACCAUGCCACCAUGAGGACCUACUAAGUAGUGGGAAUUGGGCAUUCCAAAUUGGGAGAAAAAGGGGAUAAAAAAAGAUUGAAUGGCCAGAUAUUUCCUUCUACUCAAUUCCGACCAAACAGAGGUACUAAUGAUUGGACCAAAAACCUCUCAAAAUAAGCAGCUAAAAUAUAAUUUGUCUCUCACUGGGUGUACUGUUACAUCAUCUUCUACAGAAAAGAACUUAGGUGUUAUAUUUGAUACCAGUCUGUCCUUUGAAAGUCAAAUUUCCAAUGUUUGUAGAACAGCAUUCUUCCACCUGAGAAUUAUUGCGACACAUGCUCUCUGUUGCCGAUGCCGAAUAAAACUAAUUCAUGCAAUCAUGACCUCAAGACUAGGUUAUUGUAAUGCAUUACUGGGAGGAUGUCCAGCAAGUUCAAUUAAUAAACUUCAACUGGUUCAAAAUGCAGCUGUCAGAGUGCUGACUAGAACCAAGAAAUAUGAUCAUAUUAUAGCCCCAUGUUAUCAUCAUUACAUUGACUACCUGUUAAAUUUUGUAUUAAUUUUACAGUUCUGUUAACUACAUACAAAGCUUUGAAUAGUUUAGCUCCACAGUAUUUAAGUGACCUUCUGACACACUAUAUUCUGUCAAGUUUAUUAUGAUCACUAAAUUCUGGCUUGUUAAUAAUUCCAAGAAUAUCAAAAUCCACAAAAGGAGGUGGAUCCUUUUCAUUCUUCACCCCUAAACUAUGGAAUAGUCUCUCUAACACUGUUCGGAUGCAGACACACUCACUCAGUUUAAGUCUAGACUAAAGACUCAUCUAUUUAGCCAGGCAUACACCUAAUUUAUCCUUCAACCCACAAUUAGGCUGCUAUAGUUAGGUCUGCCAGAACCAGAAACAUCCAUCAUGAUCUAUAACUCUGCAUAAAACUGAAUGGCAUCUACGAUAAUAUGAAUUUUUUUGUUUCCAUGUCUCAUCCUUGGGAUUCAUAUCCCGAGGUUACCAGAGCCAGCCAGAUCCAGCUCCGUUCCUGCUUGGUGUCGGACUCCACUGCUAUGUAUCGCUGAAAGAUGGUGACAAACUACAGCCGGUGCCAGCCAGACAUCACUUCAGUCUUUUGACUUCAGAGGAUGAACUGAUGCCAGCUGUAAGACAUGUGAUACUUCAUAUGCCACUGCUUGAACCUUGGAAUUAGGAUGGACCCCACAGAACCUCACCGAAAUGACCUGCAGGUAUCAUUCAGUGAGGAGCAUCGCAGUCCAGCUGGAUGCUUAUGGCAGAUAAUAUCUACAUAAACCUAUUUCUAGCAUACAACCGGCCUGCAUGGCACCUACCAAACUCUCAAGACUUACAAAUCCUGUCUACCUGCUCCCCUCAAAAACUUUACUCAGGAAAAUAGCUUACAAAAAUACAUACUGAUCUCAACAGAGACAAUUAACUUAAUAAAGAAAACAUGCUUUCCUGUAAGACUGAAAUGAAUGUCUGAUCCACUAAUUAUAUAUAUAUAUAUUGACUCAUGUGAAACACAUAUUUAGAUGGCAGUCUGUCAUUUGCAUGUCAGGGUCUAUUUCAAAGAAUGUGACUAUUAUUUAUAGUUAAAAAUGUUGUACCUCUUCAAGUAUCUGAAGAACUUUUUUUAAAACACAUCAAUAUGUAUUUCCUUUUUGAAUAUAUGUGGCCCUCUAACUUACAAAAUUGUACAUUUCUAUUACUGUUGUGUUUAACAUCUAAUGUGCAAUGUUUUUUAUAGCUCUGAAGCUAGUACCAAGAAAACAUUUUAAUAACUACAUUAACAGCUCAACUGGGUACAUGUUUUAUAUUUGUGUACAUGAAUACUGCACAUAGAACAAUUUUUAUUUGGGUGAAUAACAUGCCAAACACCUUGACCUUGAAACCUUGAAAUAAAUGUGUUUUCAUACCCUUUACAUUGUCUUCAGCACUUUUGGACUAGUGUCAAUUACAAACUAGAAUUAUAAACGGAUAGUUGGAUAUAACAGAUAAGACAUUCUAUGCAAUUUAGUUUAAGCUUAAUCCUGGUUGGUGCAACCAACCCUUACUCUUUGAAUGAUUUACAGUUAUGUGGCACCCUCUGGUGGACAAACAGUACUGCCUUUAAUGCCAAUGAAGGCUUUAAAUACAGUUGAGAAAUUAGGUAUUUCUUAUGUUACAGCCAUGCCAAAUUGAUGAAAUUCUGCUUGUUACCUCAAAAUAUUAUUUUGUGCAAAGUUUUGUUAAGUUUAAAAUAUUUGCUCACUAAAUAUGUCAAUUAGUCAUAAUAGGCCAAACCCAAAAACCUAUCAGCUAAUAUCUUCUGAAUGAUUUACCAUAUCAGAAUUUUUUUGGUAAAGUUUUGUCAGGAAUGUCUGUAGAUAAUGUAUACAAAGUUUCAUGCAAAUAGGGCAAACAGCCUAGGACGAGUUUGAAAAACAGGGAAGGUCCAGACAGCAGGAUGCUCAUGUAUUAUAGGACUCUGCAGGACUGUCAUGCUGCUGUUUUUUUGGAUAAAAUACAAUUAUUUUGUGGGAGAUGACUGUGUAGUAAGCUCAAUCCAGCUUUAUCAUUGUUAGUUUACAUACAUAAUAUCCGUAUCGAAAUGCUAUAACCUACAUUAAAUGUUUUAGUGUUGACUUAACAAAUGAUCCUGUUGAUAGAUUGAGUUUAUUGUUCUUGUGUAGGAAAUAACAAUGUCUUAGCAGUCACACAAUAAACUGUACUGUACAAAAAGAACUACAUGCAAUACAAAUAAACAUUUAUUUGGACAUACACUAUAAACAUUGUACACAUAAGUUCAAUGUUCUCUGUAAAGCUACUAUAAAACAGUAUGUAUUAUUAAAAGCACUGUACAAAUAAAUUU